rnacentral:rRNA from 1 species
AUUGAACGCUGGCGGCAUGCCUUACACAUGCAAGUCGAACGGCAGCACGGGUGCUUGCACCUGGUGGCGAGUGGCGAACGGGUGAGUAAUACAUCAGAACGUACCUUAUCGUGGGGGAUAACGCAGCGAAAGCUGUGCUAAUACCGCAUACGCCCUGAGGGGGAAAGCGGGGGAUCGCAAGACCUCGCGCGAUUAGAGCGGCCGAUGCCUGAUUAGCUUGUUGGUGGGGUAAAAGCCCACCAAGGCGACGAUCAGUAGCUGGUCUGAGAGGACGAGCAGCCACACUGGGACUGAGACACGGCCCAGACUCCUACGGGAGGCAGCAGUGGGGAAUUUUGGACAAUGGGGGCAACCCUGAUCCAGCAAUGCCGCGUGAGUGAAGAAGGCCUUCGGGUUGUAAAGCUCUUUUGUCAGGGAAGAAACACCGGCUCUAACACAGUCCGGGAAUGACGGUACCUGAAGAAUAAGCACCGGCUAACUACGUGCCAGCAGCCGCGGUAA